rnacentral:tmRNA from 1 species
GGGGCCGUAAUGGUUUCGACGGGGAUGCAGAAUCCGGAAUAGCGGGCGGAUGCGCUGACCAUCCUUAAAAUCGGCAAUUAUAAAUUAAAGAACAGUAAAGAAACUGCUCUUCUCGCUGCUUAAGCAGUGAGCGUCUUGACCGAGAGGGCCACGGCUCGGUAAAAGACGUCGAUUAGUGGCGAACGUGAGUGCGCAAAGCUUUGAGUGCACCAUGCAUUAAUGAAGCUACCGACCGCGGGAGAUAGUGAGGCGUCUUCCGCGCAGGGGAAUCGCUAACGACUCACUGCGCCCGGAGAAGUUUCGGUGGACACAUUUUCGGACGCGGGUUCGACUCCCGCCGGCUCCACCA